UACGUAGGGGGCGAGCGUUGUCCGGAGUUACUGGGCGUAAAGCGCACGCAGGCGGUCUGCUAAGUUUGGAGUGACAGUUGGUGGCUUAACUGCCAAAGUGCUUCGAAAACUGACAGACUUGAGGGCUUCAGAGGGACACGGAAUUCCGGGUGGAGUGGUGAAAUGCGUAGAGACCCGGAGGAACACCAGUGGCGAAGGCGGCUUCCUGGUCUGCGACUGACGCUGUGGCGCGAAAGCUAGGGGAGCAAACGGG
rnacentral:rRNA from 1 species